GCGACCGGAGCUCGCACAACAGACCCCGCGCAGAUUGCGCGUGCCGUUGCAACCAACUCGGUGCGCUAGCUGCGUGGUGAGUCGGCAUCGGGGUAUAAAGACGGGGCUACCCUCGACGACCAUCGCGGCCGCGACACCAACCAGACCACCAUGCGCCAUACCCAACGGAAACUAGGCCACUGCGGCUACCUCUCGAGCUCGCUAUCGCCAGCGUUCAUGGAAGGGCUGGGAAGGACCCCCAUGCCAUGUGGAUCGUGCGCGGGCAGCUAAUCAGGCUCGGGGAGUCGGAGGUCGGCGACAAUUCCUCACCAAGAAAUCAGCGCCGCCGUAGAUCCGCCGAGAGCUGAGGCCAGCAACCUCUGUGUGCAAGAUUCUCGGUAAUCUUCCCCUCCGUAUGGUCGCAGAUGUCUCCUCUUCGCGUAGCUGCGGUCCAAUUUAUGUGGGCGUGCGUGUGUGCCCAACGUGCAUCGCUCCGGCGAGGCCCCGUCUCUACGACCUCUGCACCGCCGUCAUAGGUGUCGGGGUUGGGGAAGAGUGGGGCGACCGUGGAUCUUCGGUUGUGCGAUUCAGAUUAGAUGUGGGCAGAUCCGUUAAACGAUGGGGUGGAGUAGAUCAGGCCAGCACUAAAUCCCGGGCAUAGAUCUUGAAUCCUACAGUGGCUGUCUUAUAUCGAGUUGAGCUUAGAUCUGGACUGCGGAUGUCCGAUCGAACAACGCUGAUCAGACGAAGUCUACCGGUUCGCCUAGAUCUAAUCAGUGCCCUAAAUUCUAGAUCGGGCGGCUGAGAUAAACCAGUACCCCUUUAGCUCGGCCAGUUUGCUAAAGAGCCCCUGUGGAAAUUGUGAAUUAACCCGCAGUCCAUCCCUAUAUUAGGAUCGUUACAUAAUUGUCCAAACAUUUGUAAAAGUAACCUUGCGCUCUUAUAAAAUUGUGGCCGCAACCCACUGGUCUCGGUUAGUUGGUAAUAAUUAAUUUAAAAAAGAUAUUUGAUAUAGAAAUAAAUCUAGAAAUCUAUAAAAUUCAUGAUUCCUUUAUUUUAACUCCAAUUUAAUUCAUUCCAGUUGCAUUAAAUUUAUAAUAACAUUGUUUAUCAUCUGGUAACCUUAGUUUGUUAUGAAACCUAGAUAAAAAAUGCACUUAGUUUCUUUCAUAUCCAACACUUAAAUCUUCAGAAAACCAUAACUCUUUAACCGUAACUCUAAAUUUAGUGGUUCUCGAACCUAGGUUCUCGCUACAACGCAUAGAUCAUUAUUAUGCAGUUUGUUCUUAUGUUUAGUGUGAUGUUAAUUUUGCCUAUACCAUGUUUGUUUGUAUUGCUACGAAUAGCAGCAUGGUUGCAAAUCACUUGAAGACCAACUGAGUACCUGGGAGUCUCGAGUCUAAGGCAAGUUGUGCCCUUGAUCACUCUUCUUUACCUAAUAAUGUUCUGGUUAAUCACUGUGACAUGCUCAGGUUAAUUUGGUGGGACCUAAUAGGUUUCCCAAGCCUUGCAAACAUAUGAACUAUUGGGUAGAUUUGGUUUUGCUCUACCUGGUUUUGGGAAAUUAAUGUUAUACUGUGAUCAUGUUCCAAUUAUAUUGUUGUUUAAUUAUUGUUCAUGAAAAGAUUAUUGUGUCAAUUGGAACAUGGAGCUUAACUUGAGAUCACAGUGCUACCACAAGGGUGGAACUAGUGGAACUUUGGAAAGGCCUCGUUGUGCUACCCUGCCUCUCUUCCUCGCUAGAGGUGUAUGGGGUUUGAUCAACCCCGUGGAAAAUGGGUAACACGACUUGUGGGUAAAGAUGUGUAACCUCUAUAGAGUGUAAAACUGGUAUAUCUGUCGUGCUCACGGUCAAGAGCGACUCAUGACUCUCUCAUGAUUAAUUUAUGGAACUAAACUUAAUCUAUCAUAUGCAUUGCAUCACGAGUGUUAUUAUCAAUUGUGAUAUCUUAUUUAGUUGGGUUGGUAUCUACUUAUACCUAGUAACUGUUAAUAAAAUUUUGACCAACUUUAAAAGCAAUGCUCAGCUUUAACCAUCUCCUUUUGUAAGCCUUACACUUCACAUGAGCUCCCACCCUUGGUGAGUUCAUGAACAUUAUUCCCCGCAACUUGUUGAGCAAUGAACGUAUGUGAGCUCACCCUUGCUAUACUCACAUCCCCCCAGGUCAAGAACAGGUACCACUGGACGAGGCACAUGAAGGAUGCUGUGAUGAGUUCGUGAGUGGUCUAGGCUGUCGUCUCGCAGUCAACUUUGGGUUGCUGGAUCGUUGUCUUCGUAUGAUGUAAUUAUUUAACUAUUUUGUACAGAACUCCAUUAUAUAUUAAAGAUGUGACAUUCAUUUCUGUACCGUGAAUCAUCAUAUGUGUGAG
rnacentral:lncRNA from 1 species